CUGUGUCAUAAAACAAAGCAACAGCAACAAAAUUGCACAUAUCUUCUUUAGAAACCUAAAGAGAAAGAAGAAACUAGGACUAGAAAUAAGUUGUGAUGGAGUAUCUUAAAGAUACGAAGGACUCUUAACAUGAUUUUUACUCUGUCUAGCCUGAACUCAGACAGGGACAUGUGAGCAAACGCACAGCUAAUGUCCUUUUGAACUUAGUGUCUAUAAAGGGAGAGGAUCAUAAGUAAAUCAUGAUAGAUAUUUUGAUAGGACUUCUUACUCUCCAGCGUAAGAGCAGAUUUCUUACUCUCCAGAGAGAAUGUUCGAAGGCCAGGGUGUCUAGAAAGGAAAUGACGUCUUAACUAUAGUAUGAAAGGAAGCAGGCAAACCAAGAACGGCUGCGAGGAGAGAAAGUCCCAGGCGACAGAAGCAGUGUGCAAGCGUCCUGAGGUGCACGAGAGUAAAGCAAGGCAGAGGCACUGAAAGCCACGGCGCUAUGAAGUACAGAGUUCUGGAAGCAGAAGAAGGAAAGAGGAAGCUACAAAAAUACACAGACACUAGAUCCCAGAAGACUAUGAACUAGAGGUUUCGUUCUGACAGAAUAGGGACCAUUAGAACACGUGUGCGGAGAACAGAGCUACCGCUGCUUAGGAAGAUCAACCUGGGGUGGCCAGUUUGCAACAAAGAGUUGAGUUUUGUUCUCUCACCUAAUUUACAACUUUUGAUCCUGUUCCUGUGCCAGUACUGGAGAUCAAAGCCAGGGCCUUGCACAUUCCACGUUUCUGAGGUCCCUUCAUCCCGUUCAUAGACAAACCUGCUCGGAGAAUGAGAGUUUAUAUCCACUCCUCCAUGCAGCAGCCAGAAAGGAAAAGGCUUGCUUCUCUGGGGAGGGCUUGUGAUAGCCCAGCAAGCCUAGCCCCAGCCACUCACAUCCGUCCCUGGCAUGGUGAUCCUGAGUGAUGUGAAAGUCUUAUGCCAGUAUCAUCUCCGGUUACACAGUAAAUUGUUGGUUUUCUUUUUUUUAAGAGUCUAAAUGGGUCCAACUCCAUUUAAUUUUCUCUGUAGUUUAUUGACUGAAAAAGCUAUAGCUUCCACCUUUGAGGAAGUAAUAGUCUGGUAGGACAGUUGGGAGGCCACGUGGGAGGAUGGGUGAUGGAUACAAGAACCGCAGCACUCAGCAGAAGGGGAGAUCGCUCAAGGAUCAUUCUUUGAGGAUUAUGGGAAUCCUUAAAAAUCUGCUGAACCCCAUGGGUUCUUUUCUGCACACACGCACACACACUCACACAUACGCAUGCACACACACACACACACAUACACACACACACACAUAGUGCUUUAAACUUUUCAUGAUUUUCUUUUUUGUGGGGGGGAGUUGUAUUUAAGGGUGUUCAUUGUUACGUCUCCAAGGCACUUAAAACUUCAGGCUAAAAUUGCUGUUCUGAAGAUAUACUUAGCUAGAAGAGCCUGGAAUGUUGGUGCCAGCAGUGACAUGGCCAGUCUCAGACGAGAACCUUCCUGUGUCAGUCAUCAGGAGGGUCUGGGCAGCCCAUGUGGUGCGAGGGCGUGCUAAAGAAAUCACAACUUCCUUGGCGCAUAAGUGAAGAGCCUGGAAUGUUGGUGCCAGCAGUGACAUGGCCAGUCUCAGACGAGAACCUUCCUGUGUCAGUCAUCAGGAGGGUCUGGGCAGCCCAUGUGGUGCGAGGGCGUGCUAAAGAAAUCACAACUUCCUUGGCGCAUACUUUGAAUCCUGCUAAUUCACAAACGCUAAGGUGGGCAAUCCCAAGAGCACAGAGUUGUUCGCAGAGAUCACCAGUUAUGGCUCCUUUUAAAAAUGUAAGUGACACAGUCAUAGUGAUCAUGGCUGAGCUCAUUUUAAAGAGAAGGAAAUACUGAGAGACUUAGAGAUUGACCCAAGAGUAAAAGUCUGCACCUGAGUCGAACAUGGGCCGUUGGCUGGGACGGUCCUUGCUUUCGCUGUUCUCCCUCACCACAUAGCAAAGGAGUAAGAAAAUGGAAGGAUGGAUGUAACUAAUACUGCUCACUUGUGAUACCCAUCUCACUUUAUUGUAGCCCGUCUUAACUCUUCACUUGCUCUCCUAGACUGUACCAUUCCCACGAGAAUGGGGAUUAUACCUGCUUUGAAAACCACAGCUACAGCCAGUACUCUUCUCACAAUGGAUGCUCAGGAAGUACAUCCCUCCCCAGGGUGACUGAAGGACAACAGAGUUACAGGAGUUCCACUUCUGUACAUGAUAAGAUGGAUGAAGCAAAGAAGUGCAGGCCGAAAG
rnacentral:sRNA from 1 species